CGCGCGGCGGGCCUUUCUUACGAUCCUUUUCUCUCCCUCCCCGCUAUUUAGCGGGAAGAGCAAAGUUGCCUUGGCAACGGGGGGAAAAAGCGAGAUUGGACCUCGAUUGUUGGACGAUGCCUGUCACUUGCUUAUGUAAACUAUCUUGUGAGAUAAAUACAACUAAGAGACAGUAAACUUCAUGGCUGAACAAGGAUGUGAACAUGACUAUUACAACAUGAGCGGAACACACAGGAAUGAUCUCUGAUUUUCAUGCAAGUUGCUGGACAGGAUUAGAAAACAACUGAAGUCUCUGAUUUCUAUCAUUGGAAACAAAACAAAACACCAUGGCUUCUCAGGUCACUGCAAGGCAGUUUAUUCCUUUUAAAUACUUAAAUCCUCCCACUGAUUCACUUCACAAGAUGCAUCGGAAGCAGCAUAAAGAUCUGCUAAAGAAAAUGUAUAUGCCUUUUGUGAGAGGACCGGAUGACAGACAUUACUUUGGUAGUUUCCAAGACAAGCAUAGUGAUGCUUUUCUCAAAUCCAAUCCUUACGCUCCUCCUGAAGAUAAAAACUAUCCCUUCGCUCCACAUCGUGAUGAUGUACCAGUACUUAACCCUUGGACAGGGCUUCUGAGUUCAAGAGCUAAAGCUGAAACUGACCAGCAAAUCAGGUACAGCAAAACUGCUGGAUACAGUAUGCAGCAUCCUCUGCGGGCACGUGUCCCACAUGAGAAAGCUCAGACUUCAUACAGAAGACCCUCGUUAAUACUGGAGGAGCGAAAGCAGGACCACAGAUGGAACUCCAGAGCAGUGUCAGAUGUUUGUCACAGGGCUCAGAUUGGAGGAUGGACAAGUCCAGUAAAAGUUAUACCUUCUCCGCCUCAAGUCAAAGAAUGUUUCUCACCUCAUACAUUUGUGUUUAAUGUUGAUUCAGAUGUAAAGUCAAGUGAUUCUUCUAAAGCCUGCAGAGAUGAGAAAGCCCGGAAGUAUAUGUAUACCUCAGUGACCCAAAAUGCAUAUGAAGACAUUCCCUGGGAUAGAAUGUUACCACCCAAACCCCAGCCUCCAGAUUCAACGCUAGAACCAAUGGCUGAUUGUGUAUCCCAGGGUUGUACAAUAAAGCAAUAUGAAUCAGUACCAGAAAUAAGCCAAGUUGUUGGAGGCCUCUGGGACAGAUUUCAAAGAAGAUAUUUCAUCUCACCGCAUAAGCCAAUAACUUUUGUCAGCCCAUAUUCUCGAACUCAGCAUGUACCCCUCUACACAGGCCGUGUUGGUGCAGACAAUGUUGAAGACCUAGACAAUCCCUAUGUGGAUUUAAUUACCCAUGGCAACGUUAGAAUUGCAAAGCCACGCUAUGUGGAAUCUUCCUACCAUCCAAACACCUUUGGAUACACUGGCAAGGUUCAUUGGUCAGCCACCCAACCAGUAAAUUCUAAUCUUCCACCAACAUCGCCAUCAAUAAUUGCGGGAAUGCAUGGGAGAGGCAUCAUUCUUGGAGGAAGGAGACUUGACUUAUGUGAAAGUGCAUCAGAGGAGGACAUCUCUGAAACCACGGUGAAAAGUUUUAGGGGGCAAGGGUGAAAUUACCCCCCAACAGAAGCAAGCACAGCAGCACUGGAGACCAAGCUCCAGCCCCACGGGAGCAAUGCAUAGGUGCCCUCCCCAGAAGCAGCUGUCAUCACCAGGUAACCAAGUUCCAGUCCUGAAACUUCAGAGAAUUGCAGGUGAGUGGGAAACAGAUCCAGACACCGUGGGAGCAUCGCAGGACUAGCUGCCUGGAAAGAGCUAGUCCCAGAAGUGGAGGAAACCGAGUUGUUGAUUUUAUGUACUGUUUGACACUGACGUAAUAUGUAAUAUAGGCUCACGUACUAGUGUAAUUAACAGGCUGGGAAUGAAUCCAUCCAUGUGAUAGAGGGAUGAACAAGUGGCUGAAUCAAACAGGAGGGCAAGGUUCCAGAGGACUUUUUCCCACAACAAUGUGAUACAAGGGAACAGGCCCCAUCUACCUUGGACACAUGAGUUUAAAUCAUGCAAGUGUAAUAAAGGUUGCCCUUUAUUUUCCAAGAGAGUUCUCAUUCUCUUGCAGUGAGGGGCAGAUUUCACCAGGCCUGACAGAAAUUACUCUCUGUUUUACAGGUACUCCUUUUUUUAAGGGGGAGAGAAAUAAAAAAUAUUUCCCCAUUGGCACACCAUGUAAGUGGGCAAUAUUUUGAAGGGGAGAUUUCUUUUGAGUUAUAGAAACAGCUCUAAUACUAACCUUGUGGUCUUCACUCCCCUCAUCUCCACUCCUAUGUAAUCUUCAUUGCCCACAAACAUACAUGCUAUCAUGCAGGACUCCGGAGCCUACAAAUGGCAAACUUCCUGAAUUUUCUUUCACAAAACCUUUUCCAGUUAUUUUAAAGAAUCAGUGCAAAACUAGUCGCAAACAUGAUCGAUUGAGGCUUCUGACCUGCCAUGAACAGGUUGUUGAAUAGCACUGAUGUCUCCUCAACCAAUGGGAGAGCAUUUUUGCUUUGCCAGGGAAAUGUGAAUCUUUAGACAGGCUUUUAAAACAAGCUACUUCACGCAGGAUGAAAAAAUCACAACACUAGCUAAUGGUGAGCUGCCCAGUGCAUUAAUACAACUAAAAAUGCUUUAUGAGAUUUAGAAAUCCCUGGCUCCAUUCACAGAGCUACAGUUCCUAGGGUUUCUUGGGGGGAAAUGAUUAACUGUUCAGUUACAGUUACUGUUCUUUGCACAUUUAAAAGUACAUCUCGCUGAGAUCAAUGGCACUUAUUCCCAAAUAAAUAUGCAUAAGAUUAUUAAAUUCCUAGAAGCUCCCUCUCCCACUCCCUCCACCUUCAGCAUUAUGACUGCACAAACCAACAUUAGAUGUUGGUUUGCAUGCCCUAACAGAAAAUAACAAUGAAUUAACUUUCAUGCACAUAUCCUGCUGCACCAUGGUUGGCUCUGAAGAGAAAGUGAGGGACGUGCACAGAUGGGGGAGGUGAGGAAAGGAGUGCAAAAGCCAGCAUAUUCAUAAUCUCAUGUGGUUGAGAGAUUGAGAACAUACAUCUGAAAUUCUGAACCAGACCAUAGUUGUCGGUCUUUCCCUUUUAAAACUAAGUUAGUGUGUUUUUCCCUUUUUAAAGCGUCACUAAUGAACAGGAACAGGGUUGAACAGGAACAAGAUUGACUUCCUGUGUGAAGUUAAGCCACUGAAAAAACAACUGCUACACAGACUGCUCUUGAGAAGAAAUAGUCUGCUUUUCAUGUGUAAAAUAUUACUUGAAAGUGAUCUGAUCUUGAAACUGGCUCACACAAAGAGAAAAGCCACCCCACUCAUAAUUUGUAAGGAAACCUUCACUAGUUAACAUGCAGAUGUUGAAAUAAAUUAACCUGAAUGCAUUUCGUGUCAAGGCAUUUGCCUGGCACUUUGAAUAUGUCUUUAAAUCAGAUUAAAUGCCUUCUAUCAUGCUGGAAUUGCCAUGAACCCUGAAGUUCUAGAUUUCACCCGGAUUUUAAGUAUCUCACCCAGAUUGCUUAGCCCACCUAGAUUUGCCCAGAUUUAUUUAUUUAUUUAUUUAUUUAUUUAUUUAUUUAUUUAUUUAUUUAUUUAUUUUUGAAGCUAAGCUCUAGCCCUUGUAGAAGUGGAGUUAUGGAGCAAAAUAUGCAGUCACUAUUCUGCUCAAAAAUUAUUUCCAAGCCAAUUUACAUAAUAUGCAAAUUAGGCACCCAGAUUUGGAAAGCCAGAAUAUGGCAACCCUCUAUCAAGUGGAUGAUGUUGUUUUUUAAAUCUCCAGUCUGUUUUAUUCUGUCAUGUGUGCUGUGAACAACAGCAGUGGUUUUGUUUUUAAUAUAGCCAAAGGCCUUUUCCCACAUUACAUGGCAGCAAACCUGGGUUUACAGCCAAGUGUGCAUUUGACAAGGAGGUACUGUCAGCCUUAGCUCUCCGAUUGGUGUAACCAACAAGAAACAAUAAGAUCCCCACCAAACUAUACAAUAACCACUUUUAAUGAAAAGUAAGCCAACACUGGAGUUCUGGCUCUCUGAUUGGUAUGUAUAUGUGAUACAUGUGUUUCCAAACACAUUUGUCCCAUUCACAUAUUAUUUUUGUAGAUGUAUAAGCUAAUAUUUUUUAUGUGUAUACAAAAAAAUUGACAUGAAUCCACCCUUAGAAUAAGGGUCAAGCUAUAUAUAUUCACAUAUAAAUCAGUGGCAUAAAUCUACUCUUUAUAUUAAAAAGAAGCAUGUGGGAGAGAAGGGCAAAACACCCCUUCCUUGCCUUAUUUUGCUGUGCUCUAUUGCUUUAAGCAGUUUUCUCUCAGCCCAACUCUGAUACCAGAGGUGAGUCAGGCUGGAAGAAAACUGUGCAAAAGCAAUGGAGCAUGGUGGAAAGGAAAGGCGGGGGAGCGGAGACUUUCACUCCCCUCCCCCAAGCACUCCUUUUUAUGGAAAUAAUGGGCCCCACCAUUGAUUUAUAUGUGGGUAAAAUACACGUGGCUGCCCUGUCACAUCAAAACAUUUGCCAUUCCUACAUUAUAUAGAUAUUUGUAAGAAAGCAUACACUAAACCAGAAAGGCUUAAAGAUUUAUUUUAUAUUAUUGAAAUUAUUUUGUAUAGAUUUGAUUUACUGUAUUUUGUUUCAUUUAGAUUUGGUAUUUUGGACAUGUGCCAUGUGGUAUGUGAAGUAUUUUUCCACUUUUGUUUUGAGUAUUAAACCUUAUGUGUGGAAGAUUUUAUUUUGUUUUCUUUUUGAUGUAUGGUUUUGUUUCAAAAACUAUGAAAUAAAAAGUUUAUUUUUAAAAGUUUAACCCUAGCUCUUUUAUUUCCAGGUUGAAUAUAAAGUGCUGGUUCUUAUCUUUCAAGCCCUAAAUGUCUUGGGAGCUUGAUACAUUAAGGAGAGCACUCCUGUGCAGUUCAAGAUCUGAGGUCCUGCUCAGCAUUAUCCUGCUGACUGAAGUGGUGCUCCAGCUCCCGAUUUCAGCAGUAAGGUCUUGCCUGCCUCACCCAUGUGUUCCCUGGAUUUGCAGACCCAUAAGAAGUUCUGAUCAUCUGGUGCAACUGGGGUAUGAGCCCCCUGAACCUCCAACCCACUCUCAAAUGAUUGUGUGAAUGGGCCUACUGUGUAAUGGCAUCAGGUCAUGAGGUAUGUUGCACCAGAAUUUAAUGGGGUGAGAAGUGGAGAAAACGGAAACACUGCCAUUUGGGUCAGUAACCCUAGCCCUUUUCAGACAUUACAUUAUACUUGUAUACAGAUGUCUUGUAUAUGUUUUUAUGCAGAUUACUAUACAUGUGUGUUCUAUGCAAUCUAGUAAUCUUUUAUGUUGUGUGUUGAAAAGUUUGUCCCAGUGGGGAUCCUGUAGAAAGUGUGGGGGUGGAAUCAGAAAGGAAAAGGGAGAAGAAGGAGAAGAGAGGGAGAGGAGAGCUGGUCUUCUGGUAGUAAGCAUGACUUGUCCUCUUACGUAGUUAAGCAGGGUCCACCCUGGUUGCAUAUGAAUGGGAGACUAGAAGUGUGAGCACUGUAAGAUAUUCCCCUCGGGAUGGAACCACUCUGGGAAGAGCAGAAGGUUUCAAGUUCCCUCCCUGGCUUCUCCAAGAUAGGGCUGAGAGAAACUCCUGCCUGCAACCCUGGAGAAACUGCUGCCAGUCUGUGAAGACAAUACUGAGCUAGAUAGACCAAUGCUCUGACUCAGUAUAUGGCAGCUUCCUAUGUUCCUAUGAGAAAAUGGAGUUGUUUCUGAAUAAAUCUUUAGCUAUAUCUACUUAAGUUUUCUUUGUAUGAGGGAAGCAGCUAUAAAACUGUGUUCAUUUUAAAAGUGUGUCUGGGUAAAGAGCCCCUCAAAUGUAGGGUACAUUGUACUUGCAUUGAAUAUAAUGUGUGUAUAACUGUACAUUUGUACAUGCAUACACUGUAUGGAUUGUACACUCACUUAAUAUAGCAUGUGAGUAUGGUUCAUCUGUUUCUUAUAACUAAUGCAGCAUGAGCCUAGGCAUGUUUAUGCAGAAGUAAAUCUUACUGAGUGCCAUGAGACUUGCUCCCAUGGAAAUGAAUUUAAGUUUGCUGCCCUAGAUAUGGUCCCAGAUAUGCAGGCUUAAAGUAAGGUGUGCCAUCAAGUUGAUUUUGACUCCUGACGCCCACGGAGCCCUGUGGUUUUCUUUGGUAGAAUACAGGAGGGGUUUACCAUUGCCAUCUCCCGUGCAGUAUGAGAUGAUGCCUUUCAGCAUCUUCCUAUAUCGCUGCUGCAUAAUAUAGGUGUUUCCUAUAGUCUGGGAAACAUACCAGUGGAGAUUUGAACUGGUAACCUUCUGCUUGUUAGUCAAGCAUUUCCCUGCUGUGCCAUUAGGAUGCAGCCUUAGGUCUGAGUAUUUAGAUAUAGGCCUAGAGUAGUAGAAUUAUUUUAAACUUUGGUUUCAACUUUGUAAAGAGGAGAUUAUUUUUCCUCUUGUUCCUGGCUCAGGAUUACAGAUAUGCAAUUUCAAGUGCCCCAUCUCUCUGAGUUUGUUAUUUUAUUCCUAAUGCUUCUCAUCUGCCACCUGGUAAAGGUCACAGAAAUAUUAAUGUACUUCUGAAGCAAGAGGACCAAAAAGCUUAGCCUUCAACAUAACUUAAGGGUGUGCUGAUGCAAAUUGCAAAAAAUCAGUGGCCUGUAUCUUCUCAGAGAAUUAUUUCAUAAUGAAUCUACCAAGUGAAAGAGAAAUGUCUCUUGGAUAAACAAUACACAGAAACAAAUGGAUGGUUGAAAAUGAGAUGGAGUAAGGAGGAACUAGUGUCCCUGGUCCUGACAUCAUAAAAAUGAAUUUGGAGAAAAUAAUGUGUUUAAAGAGGAUGGGAGAGCAUAAGUUAAUCAGUGAGGUUCAAUCUAUUUCUUUUGAAUUUAGAAGUCUAUUUUUCCCAGAAAAGAAAUGAUCAGGAGCAGAAACGUGAUUACAGAGGCAGAACCCUUAUAGCUACAAAGGAUUUGCAAAGGAGGCCAUCUGUGCUGGGAUUCAGGCUAACCCAGAGUGAGCCAUUUGACAACUGCUUGAAAGGCCUCAUUUAAGUAAAGAACAUUGACAAAAACACACUGCAGCUGCAUACAGACAGUAAUUUCUCAAAAGUAAGAGGUGCAUCUUUCCUCUAACUACUCACAGAAGUUAAACCAGUGAGGUUUCCCCCACCAUUUACCUCUGAGCCAGAAAAAGCUUAAUCUAAAACCAGAUCAAACAAUACUUACCUCCUAAACAAGGGUGGCUGACCUGUAUCCCCAUCCAGCCACAACCCCAUGCUAAGAGCCACUGGCUUAUAUGGGGCUAGGAAAUGUGGCUGCACUGAGAAAUUAAUAUGCUUCCCCCAAUGCUCCUCUUGAAGAAAGACUCCUCCCUCCAUUUUAUUUGCACAGUUAUUAUUAAGCUACCAAUAGCAGUUCAAGCGAAGGUUGUUACCUUCUUCUCUCUCUCUCUCUCUCCUGGCUUUGCUACUGAGCCUUUAACAGCUGCUAGAGAGACUGGGCCAGAUUGCAUCAGAUCAGUGAUUCUCAA